rnacentral:rRNA from 1 species
GACGAACGCUGGCGGCGUGCUUAACACAUGCAAGUCGAGCGGUAAGGCCCCUUCGGGGGUACACGAGCGGCGAACGGGUGAGUAACACGUGGGUGACCUGCCCUCAGCUCUGGGAUAAGCCUGGGAAACUGGGUCUAAUACCGGAUAUGACUCCAUGACGCAUGUCGUGGGGUGGAAAGCCUUGUGCGGCUGGGGGAUGGGCCCCGCGGCCUAUCAGCUUGGUUGGGUGGGGUGAUGGCCUACCAAGGCGACGACGGGUAGCCGGCCUGAGAGGGCGACCGGCCACACUGGGACUGAGACACGGCCCAG